rnacentral:rRNA from 1 species
UACGAAGGGGGCUAGCGUUGCUCGGAAUUACUGGGCGUAAAGCGCACGUAGGCGGCUUCUUAAGUCGGUGGUGAAAUCCUGGAGCUCAACUCCAGAACUGCCUUCGAUACUGGGAAGCUCGAGUCCGGGAGAGGUGAGUGGAACUGCGAGUGUAGAGGUGAAAUUCGUAGAUAUUCGCAAGAACACCAGUGGCGAAGGCGGCUCACUGGCCCGGUACUGACGCUGAGGUACGAAAGCGUGGGGAGCAAACAGG